ensembl:lncRNA
CACGCAAGGUUGCUUAUCUUUAAGCCAAGAGCAGAAAAGGCUGUGGGGCCUGGCUCCCUGGGAUGCCCCCACCCUGAGCUGCUGUCAGGUGGCCAGACGCAGACAGACCUUUCUAAGCUCUGGGCUCAGGGCCCACUGCUCUUUCUCAUCCUGCUUCUUAAUUUUAAAAAAAUGAUAUCCAAAGCGUCCAUGACUGUGGAUUCCUUGACACUCUGCUGUGGGCUAAUCUUCAGGGUGAAGCAUCAUCUUUCUCAAGCGGGUUUGUCCUCUGUGUAUCCUCUUUGAUCUGGAGACCAGGAAGAAACAUGUGUUCUCACUCAAAGCUGGAAAAUGCAUCCUACACUCAAAUCUCGCCUUCCUCCCUCUGAGUGUUCAGCUAAGUGUUUAUCUUUCUCUUUCAAGGGCGAUGGAUGUUUAAUUCCUCAAAGGCUGUAAAGCAGGUUGUAAAGAGAUGGAGUUAUUAUUGUGAAUGUCCAUGAUGAUCAAGGCGCACUCCUUGCCUGCCCCAGUCCUUGGUCACUGUGAUGAACUCCUUCAAAGGUAACCAACUCCAGCUGCUCUGAACAAUUACUGGACAGGACAGAAUUGACCUGCUUUGGUGAAGAUCUUUUUAUAAAAAGUAAUUAAUUUUUUGGCAGGACUGGGUCUUCAUUGCGGCAGGCGGGCUUUCUCUAGUUGCGCUGGGUGGAUUUCUCAUUGAAGUGGCUUCUCUUGUUGCAGAGCAUGGGCUCUAGGGCAUGCAGGCUUCAGGAGUUGUAGGGCAAAGGCUUAGUUGCCUGGUGCCAUGUGGAAUCUUCCUGGACCAGGACUCGAACUUGCGUCAUCUGCAUUGGCAGACAGAUUCUUAACCACUGGAACAUCUGGGAAGUCCCAGAUGAAGAUCUGGUAUGGGCAGGCAGAGAAGAAAGCUUUAGAGAGAAAGAAGAAUCACCAGGAGCCUGGCAGCCUAUACCUGCUGGUUCCUCAAUCUCAUCUUUGACCAGUUCAUUCAAUAAAUGCUUGUCAAGGGAUUUCUGCACAUCCAGGAUCAGCUGAUGCUGGGAGAGUGAUGAGAAGUCACGUGCUCUGCAAACUGUUGAGUGCUGCCAUCUGCGGGAUGAUGGGCUAGUGCCUGCCGUGGGCUCACUGACAUCUGAAGAUGCUGAUGGUGAUGGUGAUGAGGGGGAUGACCUCAGAGCAUCCUUCUCAGCCUGCAUUUGUGCAGGAUAAAGGUCUGAACCAGGGGAUCCCAGCAAAAAAAAUACCACAUGGAGCUGAUAAGAGCCAGAUAUCCUGGAAUGCGAAGUCAAGUGGGCCUUAGGAAGCAUCAUUAUGAACAA